AGUGAACGCUGGCGGUAGGCCUAACACAUGCAAGUCGAACGGCAGCACAGUAAGAGCUUGCUCUUACGGGUGGCGAGUGGCGGACGGGUGAGGAAUACAUCGGAAUCUACUUUUUCGUGGGGGAUAACAUAGGGAAACUUACGCUAAUACCGCAUACGACCUACGGGUGAAAGCAGGGGAUCUUCGGACCUUGCGCGAUUGAAUGAGCCGAUGUCGGAUUAGCUAGUUGGCGGGGUAAAGGCCCACCAAGGCGACGAUCCGUAGCUGGUCUGAGAGGAUGAUCAGCCACACUGGAACUUAGACACGGUCCAGACUCCUACGGGAGGCAGCAGUGGGGAAUAUUGGACAAUGGGCGCAAGCCUGAUCCAGCCAUACCGCGUGGGUGAAGAAGGCCUUCGGGUUGUAAAGCCCUUUUGUUGGGAAAGAAAAGCAGCAGGUUAAUACCCCGCUGUUCUGACGGUACCCAAAGAAUAAGCACCGGCUAACUUCGUG
rnacentral:rRNA from 1 species